ensembl:processed_transcript Gm29521 predicted gene 29521
AGAAAAGUAGGAGACAGUGUCUCCACCCGAUUCUUAUCCUACAUCAUUUCCAGGGAAGGGAUAAAGACAAGCACACACCUCGCUCUCAUGCAGGCAGGAAGGCUGCCUGGAACCUGCCUCCUCUAAGGACAGUUUUGGAGGAGGACAAGCCUGCUGUGGAGGGUACAAGCAAAGAGAUUACCCGUCUCUGCCCUCCGCUGUGGCUUGCCAUGUCUCCUGUCUCCGAUCUCCUCUGCCCAGUCUUCAAUGGGAACACUAGACGAUCCUGGACUGUCUGCUCACUACCAGUCAAGACUGGAACUUGAGGUUUCUGCGUCCUCUCUAGGAAUCAAGGUUUGGGAGGAGAGGAUGUUCCUUGUCCUCUUGACUGUCCUCCUGUGUCACAGUUGGUGUUGAGGACAGGCGUGGGCGGCUGUGGGGGUGUGUUAGCUAGAGGUCAGUGUGCCCAAAGUCUCCCUUAGCUUUGUUGGCCCUCACGUCGGUGUCCUAUGUAGUCAGGAAGCUGAGGCACCUGGUUAAUCAGCUCCCUGCUUCCAUGUUCUGAGGCCACUUCUCUGUCCAGCCAAUUCUUCCCUGCCCCCUUGCUCUCUGAAAAGCCCUUUUCUCCACCAUAAAAGGAGGCUCAGUGCCGCCUCCUUUUCGUUACUCCUAACCACCAGGCUCCUCCUGCCUUCUUCCUCUCUACCUCUCUCCCUGCCUGUGUUGCUCUCUGCUGCAGUCUCUGCUCCCCUACUUUUCAUAGAGCUCUUCUUUCUUGUCCUCCAGGACUCAGUCAAUGGUCAACCCACCCCUCCCCCAAAGACAGGACUUCCUUGACCUAUGAAGCUAAAGAUCCCGGGUUCAUACAUCUUCAUCUCCAUUUUUCACAAGUCCUGGUGUUUUGAAUCUUGAAGCACUGGGUGACAAAGGAGGCCAAUGACCGCAGGUUGUGUUUUUCCUCAUCCUUUGUCCACUGGCCUUGCAGGUUGCAGGCAGGAGAUUGAAGCAGGGUGGGAGGUAUAGGCUGAGAGUUUCCAGUUCCUGCCUCAGGUCGUAGCUUCAGUGGCAGUCAAGGCAAUCGGAAACCUUUGAAGGAUGUUAAGCAGAAAGCGGCAUCAUCCAGUACACGUUCUGAAAACAUCACUGUGAUUGCUCUGUGCAAAAUGUAUUGGAUUUGGGGAAAGGAUUUAGGAGGCAGUCCCAGUGAGAAAUGAUAAUGGCUUGGACCAGAGUGAUUGCAGCUCAGAGGGAGAGAAGUGGGCAGAUUAAAGCUGUCUUUGAAGGAAGGAUUAACAGAAGUUGGUGAUUGUUCGGUUGCGAUGCUUGAGGGGGAAAUAGGGUUAGAAAUGACUUCCUGGUUUCUGGUUUGGGCAACUGUGUAGACAGAAUGUCACUUAUCAUGAUGAUAAAAAGUUAGAUGGAACGGACGUUGGUCUGUUCAGGGGGAAAGUUCAUGUGUAUUUCUGUGGUCAUUUUUCUCUUUGAUUCCAUAGUAUGCUUUAUCUAUCAAAUCUAUUACCUAUCAUCUAUGUAUCUGAUUAUUUGUUUAUAUGUUAUCUACUGUGCUUUGAUGUUUGGACUGUGUUACAUAAACUAUAUGAUUAUCUUAUGUCCUAAAUGUUAGCUGUGCGUAGAUAGAAUAUUUGAUGACAUAAGAUAUAGGUACCCUACCAAAUUCAUAACUUAAAUCCUGUAAUGGUGUUUUGUUUUGGUGUCUAAAUUCCUUACGAUUUUACAUGGAUUCAAAAUACUGCUUGUGAAUAAUCACAGUUUACUUUUCCUAUUGACAAUCUGUGAGGCUGUACUUCUAUAACUUACAAAAACUAAAAUCUCAGAUCUGUGAGACUUUUCCUUGGAAAAUAUGAACAAACAUCUACGUAUUCAAGACAGGGAGACAACAGACCAAAGUGCAAUUCUACCAAAGUCCAACUUGACAAACCAAUACGCAUUUAUGAAGGGCUGCUUACAGCAGUAGGAGCAGUUCAAAGACAGUCAUGUGACCACACAGACAUCCCAGACUGGGUGAUAACGCUCAGAAGAAGCUGCAACCUUUGAGAUCCCUGCAGGACUUGUAGGCUGCUCAAUAGAGCAGAGCCCUUCGUGCUGCAGAAACAGCCUUGGGAAGGGGCCAUAUGGCUUUUGCUAGUUUCAGGAACUUCCUGAGACUUGUCAGUUCUUCCUGUUCAAAGUCUCCUAGGCCUCCUGCCUGGAAGGAAUUUGUUACCCAGCAACCUCCUACACCAAACUUGGUAGAAGUGACAAAAGUGAAUAACUGAAACUUUAAGGAAGAGGCACUCAUAAAAUGUGUCAUAAAGUGUAAUAUUAGCUAUAGGAUUAAUCAGUGCUGUGCCAUAAAAAUGUAAUAUUAGCUAUAGAGUUAAGAUGAGGGCAGAAUUUUAAAAAAUAAUAUUGAUGUGAUUCCUUUUUACUUAUUCUGAGAGGCUUUUAGAAUCAUCAAUAAGUAAUGGAUUUUGUCAUUUUUCUGAAUUUGUUGAAAUAAUUACUUUUCCCUCUAUUCAUAUUGUUUUUUUUUAAUGCCACUCUACUGCGGCAUUUUAAAUCUCUAGUGUAUACAUAAACAACCAUACAUUGAAUCUAUAGAGAUGACUCCAUGGCUAAGAACACUCACUACUCUUCCAGAGAACCAGAGUUCAAUUCCCAGCACCCACAUCAGGUAACCUAUAACCACUUGUAACUCCAGGUUCAAGGGAUCUGACAACUUUUUCUGUCCUCUACUAGCACCUAUACACAUAUGCAUACACUAACACAGACUAAAAUUUACACAUAUACAAUCUCACACAGAGUAGUCCCUGAUCCUCUGGCUCUUGCUCUCUUUCUGCCCUAUCUUCUGCAAUAUUCCCAGAGCUUAGGUGUAACAACAUGAGGAAAAGCCUACGAGGUCUCAACCCUACACAAAGAGCUACCGGCAACUGAGGAAAGCUGAGCCCGUGGCUCUUCCCAGGAGAGAGUGGGUGAUCAGUGACAAAAGGGCAGACCUGAAAACACAUAUACAAGUUACAUUAUAUGGACUCAAUAUACUGUAUUUAGGAUUAUAUAUGUAUAUACAGAUACAAAUAUACAUGUGAUAACAAUUGAUGAAAAAAGAGGCCAUGAAUUUGAAGGAGAGUUGGGAGGGGUGCAGUGGAGAAUCUUG